GACGAACGCUGGCGGCGUGCUUAACACAUGCAAGUCGAACGGUGAAGCGCCUUCCUUUUUGGUGGGUGUGGAUGAGUGGCGAACGGGUGAGUAACACGUGAGUAACCUGCCCCCUUCUUCUGGAUAACCGCAUGAAAGUGUGGCUAAUACGGGAUAUUCUGGGUCUGUCGCAUGAUGGUUUUGGGAAGGUUUUUGUUCGGUUGGGGAUGGGCUCGCGGCCUAUCAGCUUGUUGGUGGGGUGAUGGCCUACCAAGGCGGUGACGGGUAGCCGGCCUGAGAGGGUGGACGGUCACACUGGGACUGAGACACGGCCCAGACUCCUACGGGAGGCAGCAGUGGGGAAUAUUGCACAAUGGGCGCAAGCCUGAUGCAGCGACGCCGCGUGAGGGAUGGAGGCCUGCGGGUUGUGAACCUCUUUCGCCAGUGAAGCAGGCCUGCCUCGUUUGUGGGUGGGUUGACGGUAGCUGGAUAAGAAGCGCCGGCUAACUACGUG
rnacentral:rRNA from 1 species